UGAUAUGUAAUGUAUUAUUUCAUAAUUUUAAUGUCUUAAUCCUAUUUAUAGUAUUUUUAUACUAUUCUAUAGUUUAAGAAUUAAUUUUAUGGUGAGUAUAUAAAGAGACUAUUAUGGUAAAAUAAAAAGCUGUAUAUUAGAUAAAAAGUGGAAGAAUUUCCAUUAACAAUACGAAGUGAAUUGAAAUAUCUUAAUAGCUUCAGGAAAAAAAAUCAAACGAGAUUCUAUUAGUAGUGUGAAUGAAAAUAGAGAAUAGGCUUAAAGUAAAAUGGAUUCAUCUGUUUGAAUAUAGGGGAACCUUCCUCUAAGCCUUAAUAUAAUAUACAAGAGAUAGAGAAUAGUACUGUGAAGGAAAUAUUGAAAGUAGUAGUCUUAGAAGCAGCUCGAGGUAAGUUUAACAAACAUAUGAGAGCGUACCUUUUGUAUAAUGGGUCAGCAAGUUCUAAUUAGAUGCAAGCAAGUGUUUAUAGAAAUAUAAGGAAAUUUGCCCAGAUAAUCCAAUUAUUAAGUAAUGAAUAAGUAUCUAAAUAGAGACCCGAAGAGUAGUGAUCUUACUAUGGUCAGGCUUAUAAAAGGCCGAAUGGGUUAUCGUUGUAAAGAUAUCCAAAGAACUGUGGUAAGUUAGUGAAAGACAAUCCUGACUACUAUAGCUGGUUUUCCGCGAAACAUAUGUAAGUAUGUAGUUUAAAUUACAUCAUAGCAGGUACAGAACUGUGAUCUCGGACAAGUUGUGCAUUAGUAUUCUUUUUAGGAUAGUAAUGUCUUGUGCAUAUGGGGGGGUCGUGAAGACUCUAUUCGCGAGUAUUUGCUCUCGGAAGGGCAAUGAUGAAUGUUGAACUAUCAGACAUUUAACGAUAAGGUUGUAUGUCAAAAGGGAAACAGCCCAGAACAAGUGUUUAAGGUUCCAAAGUUUUUGUUAAGUGAAAGUAAGGAAGUAUUUAAACUAUACAACCAGGAAAUAGGCUUAGAAGCGGCCAUUUUUUAAAGACCUCGUAACAGAGCACUGGUUCAACAAGUUCGUUACGAACUUAAUUAGUUAAAAGCGCCGAAGAUAUAACGGAUCUAAACAAAACACCGAUACCUUGUCCAUAAAGACUAGGGUUAUAGAAUUGUAAUCUUAUGUUAAAUACUUACGAAGGAAAGUAAGUAUUGUUUAUGGGGUAGCGGAACAUUGGGUACAUAGGGGAGAAUUCUAGUGCCUUUAUAAAGUAGUAUGCUGAAUUCUACUUUACAAGAAAUAUAAAUGCUAGAAUCAUGAUUUUCGUAACCAUUGAAAAUCGUACUUCGGAAAAAGAAGUUACCAAAGAUAUCCCAAGGGAGAAUGCUGACACGAGUAACGAAAAAGAGUAGACCUAGAGGUCACUCUCGCCUUAAGCUUAUGGUAUUUAUAAAAUAAUCGGUCUCUAAAUUAAACCUAAAGGAUAAGAUGAUGAGAUUAUAUGUGAAACACAUAAAAAGUUGAGUAAAAUGUACUGGAAAAAAGGAAUAUACAGAUAAAGGAUAGAUAUCUGAGAAAGAUAAACUAUACCAUGAAAAAAUAUUGUAAAAACCGUACCUAAAAACUACCACAAGUAAGCUAGUAGAGAAUACGAAGGCGUUUGAGCUAACAAUCAUUAAGGAACUCGGCAAAUUGACACCGUAACUGAGGGAGAAGGUGUGCCACUCCUACUGAGUAAUAUCAGGAUAGGGGGAGGAGACAUAGAAUGGUGUUGCACGACUGUUUAAUUAAAACACAGCACUUUGCGUAAGAUGUAAAUCAAUGUAUAGAGUGCGCUAUCUGCCCAAUGAUGGCUGGUUAACGGAUUUACUUAGACGACUAAAAUAGGCUAGGUUUUGAAGGAACCCCCAUUUAAUGGCGGCCUUACCUAUGAGGGUCCUAAGGUAGCGAAAUACCUUGGCAUUUAAAUGAUGUCGCGCAUGAAUGAUCUCACGAUGCAACAGCUGUCUCAAUGAUUGGCUCAGUGAAACUGGAAUGGCAGUGAAGAUACUGCCUAUCUCUAGAUAGACGAGAAGACCCCAUGCAGCUUUACUGUUACUAGUUAUAGGGUAUAAUUGAACAGGUUUUAGGGAAUAAGGUAGUUGAAAGACAAAAUUGAAACACCUUUACUCUGGUUGUUAUAUCAGUAGAAUAAGUUUACAUAGUAUUCUUGUUUACUUACGUCUUUAUGUAAUCCAGAAAAGGAGAAUUGAUAAAAUAGAAAAGAAGAAUAAAUUAGAAAAGAUAUCAAUUUCUCAGGAGACAAUGGCUAGCAGAUGGUUUAUGCGGGGCACAGAUCCCAUAAAGAGUACCUGGGAGUAUCCAAAUUUAAUUUUGUAAAAAUGCUAUACGCAGAAUACAUAUAGAGCUUUUUUUAAGAAUUGCUUUAUGGUAUUGUUAACUUUAAUUAUUAUAGUUAGUUUGUUAUUUUUUAUAGUUACCAUUUUUGGUAUCUAUAACUAAUUCAGUUAUAUUUCUAUUUGAGUUAGAACUAAAACAAUUUAAUUUAAGUAAGAUUUUACCUAUGGGGAAAAUAGGUGUAUAUAGAGUAUUAAUAAUUACUAUUAAGAAUAAAGGAAAUUAACUUUAUUUAAGGAAUUAGAAUACUAGUAGUUAUUUUUUUAAUGUAGAAAAAAUGAUGUUGAUAUAUACUUCCAAAGUUUAAUGGCUUAAUCUUGCUUUACUGUUUGACAUACACGUCUAUCAGUUGCGUAAGCAGGGCAUAAAGAUCGCAAGACGCAGUAAGGAAAGGUCUUGUAUUAUUGAAAAAGCUACGCUGGGGAUAACAGGCUAAUUGCGCCAGAGAGUACAAAUUGAGUGCGCAGUUUGGCACCUCGAUGUCGGCUUAGCUCAUCCACAUGAAUGUAGGAAUCAUGAAGGGUACGACUGUUCGUCGAUUAAAGAGCUACACGAGCUGGGUUAAAUACGUCGUGAGACAGUAUGGUUUCUAUCUUCUAGAGGAAAUUGGAGUAAAAUAAGGAUAGCCCCUUCGUACGAAAGGAGUUGGGUAUGGUAACCUAUGGUUUACCUGUUGUUUAUACGCUUAAUAUUAACAUGAUAAAUAAUAAUGAGAAUAGGGUUUUCUAAUUAAAAAGAAAAAGGGUAUCUUUUUAAUAAGGAAAGUUAUAUAAAUUCAUUUAAAAAAGAUUUUUGAAAAAAUGUCCAUUAAAAGCACUAAAUUCGUUAGAAUACAAUGGUUGUUAUAAGAAGCUUAUACAAAAUGAAUUUUCUAUGUCAAAGAAUUAUUUGGGUAA
rnacentral:rRNA from 1 species